GACGAACUUUGGCGGCGUGCUUAACACAUGCAAGUCGAACGGAAAGGCCCUGCUUUUGUGGGGUGCUCGAGUGGCGAACGGGUGAGUAACACGUGAGUAACCUGCCCUUGACUUUGGGAUAACUUCAGGAAACUGGGGCUAAUACCGGAUAGGAGCUCCUGCUGCAUGGUGGGGGUUGGAAAGUUUCGGCGGUUGGGGAUGGACUCGCGGCUUAUCAGCUUGUUGGUGGGGUAGUGGCUUACCAAGGCUUUGACGGGUAGCCGGCCUGAGAGGGUGACCGGCCACAUUGGGACUGAGAUACGGCCCAGACUCCUACGGGAGGCAGCAGUGGGGAAUAUUGCACAAUGGGCGGAAGCCUGAUGCAGCAACGCCGCGUGCGGGAUGACGGCCUUCGGGUUGUAAACCGCUUUCGCCUGUGACGAAGCGUGAGUGACGGUAAUGGGUAAAGAAGCACCGGCUAACUACGUGCCAGCAGCCGCGGUGAUACGUAGGGUGCGAGCGUUGUCCGGAUUUAUUGGGCGUAAAGGGCUCGUAGGUGGUUGAUCGCGUCGGAAGUGUAAUCUUGGGGCUUAACCCUGAGCGUGCUUUCGAUACGGGUUGACUUGAGGAAGGUAGGGGAGAAUGGAAUUCCUGGUGGAGCGGUGGAAUGCGCAGAUAUCAGGAGGAACACCAGUGGCGAAGGCGGUUCUCUGGGCCUUUCCUGACGCUGAGGAGCGAAAGCGUGGGGAGCGAACAGGCUUAGAUACCCUGGUAGUCCACGCUGUAAACGGUGGGUACUAGGUGUGGGGUCCAUUCCACGGGUUCCGUGCCGUAGCUAACGCUUUAAGUACCCCGCCUGGGGAGUACGGCCGCAAGGCUAAAACUCAAAGGAAUUGACGGGGCCCCGCACAAGCGGCGGAGCAUGCGGAUUAAUUCGAUGCAACGCGUAGAACCUUACCUGGGUUUGACAUGGAUCGGGAGUGCUCAGAGAUGGGUGUGCCUCUUUUGGGGUCGGUUCACAGGUGGUGCAUGCCUGUCGUCAGCUCGUGUCGUGAGAUGUUGGGUUAAGUCCCGCAACGAGCGCAACCCUUGUUCACUGUUGCCAGCACGUUAUGGUGGGGACUCAGUGGAGACCGCCGGGGUCAACUCGGAGGAAGGUGGGGAUGACGUCAAGUCCUCAUGCCCCUUAUGUCCAGGGCUUCACGCAUGCUACAAUGGCUGGUACAGAGAGUGGCGAGCCUGUGAGGGUGAGCGAAUCCCGGAAAGCCGGUCUCAGUUCGGAUUGGGGUCUGCAACUCGACCUCAUGAAGUCGGAGUCGCUAGUAAUCGCAGAUCAGCAACGCUGCGGUGAAUACGUUCCCGGGGCU
rnacentral:rRNA from 1 species